rnacentral:rRNA from 1 species
GACGAACGCUGGCGGCGUGCUUAACACAUGCAAGUCGAACGGAAAGGCCCUGCUUUUGUGGGGUGCUCAAGUGGCGAACGGGUGAGUAACACGUGAGUAACCUGCCCUUGACUUUGGGAUAACUUCAGGAAACUGGGGCUAAUACCGGAUAGGAGCUCCUGCUGCAUGGUGGGGGGUGGAAAGUUUCGGCGGUUGGGGAUGGACUCGCGGCUUAUCAGCUUGUUGGUGGGGUAGUGGCUUACCAAGGCUUUGACGGGUAGCCGGCCUGAGAGGGUGACCGGCCACAUUGGGACUGGGAUACGGCCCGGACUCCUACGGGCGGCAGCAGUGGGGAAUAUUGCACGAUGGGCGGAAGCCGGAUGGAGCAACGCCGCGUGCGGGAUGACGGCCUUCGGGUUGUAAACCGCUUUCGCCUGUGACGAAGAGUGAGUGACGGUAAUGGGUAAAGAAGCAACGGCUAACUACGUG